CAAAGUUGAAGAGGAUCUGGAUAUUCUAUAUAGGCCUUUUGUAAAUGUAUAUUUUGGAGCAAUGUACCUUAAAUGGUUAUCAAACUUUGAAAACAAAGUUCGAACCGAAGAGUUUAUCAUCCGGGCUUAUAAGGGUGGUACAAAGAAAGCAACUCAUAAAUCAACCCUACCGUAUUGGAAGCGUUAUCUUUCUGUGAAAGAAACUUUUACACCCAGGU